rnacentral:lncRNA from 1 species
UUCCUCCAUAUUCAACAGCUGCAGCAGUUGAAAGGCAAGGAACAAGCAGGUAUUAUAUUGAUGCUCCAUAUUUAGCAGCAGUAAGACUAGUAAGAAAACGCCUUUUUCAUGUAAUAUUCUAGAGCAUACCUUGGCAAGCCUUUCCUUGAAGUCCAGCCACUUUUUUCUUCUGUCAUCAUCCAGACUAUCGCCAAAAGUAAAUCCAUGCACUCGUUGAAGGUCUGAAAAAUCGAAGUUGCUGGAAUUUUGAUCUCCAUAACGGAAUAAUUUUAAUAAUGAAAAAUACUUCUUUAUGAUCACCAUCAAUGUUCGAAGGGUUAUUUUUGCAGUAUGCUUCUAUGCAAUAUCACCAAUAUUCGGAAUAACACUGGAGGUUUUGGUAUCAUAAUCAUCCUUUGAUUGGGUUAAGAAUAGCCUUGUAGUAACUAAUACAAAAAGAAAUCUGUGGUUAUGAUGAGGGGCCCACUCCACUCGAUAAAAUUAAGAUGGGCAUCAGAGCUAAAAGUUAUUCUUAAACUGCACUUUAAUGUCAUUGUCCACAUGACAAUGACAUUAAUAGUUUUUUUGUACUGGUUAAUACAAAAAAAAACUAUUCAUUGUUAAUCGGUGUCCCCUCUAAAUCGUUAAGAAAAGAAAUCUGUGGUUGCGAAUGAUUUGUCUUGACUCCACCGUGUUCUUUUGCAGAAAAUCUGUUCCCAGGAACUGGUCAAUUUAUCAUCCGCCGAAGUCAACUGGCCACUUUAUGGGGCAAAUUCUGCAGCAAAAACUCAGUUCUAAACUGUUUAGGAGUCAAAAUGACCUCCAAGCUACGGUCACUGUAUGCUCCAAGUCCCUAGGAUGAUCCAUAGAAUAUCUCGCGCCUCAACCAGGAAAUGAGGGGAAAUAAAAAAAAUAAAGAUAACCACUCAGAUUGGCAUUAAAAGUGUAUUGAUGUUCAAUGUUGGCAUGAUGUUAUAAUUUAUUUGACAAAAUCAUUCGAUACUGAUUGUGUUGUCAACUCCAUAAGAAGGCCAUUUUAGGAUAUUCAUGAAAGAGUGCCCGAGUUUGGAUUUGAAGCAUAUUUCUGAUGAGCUAGAACCCAAAAUCUAGAGGUUGCGAGGGUUGAGCAAGGGAUGUCUUC